rnacentral:sRNA from 1 species
UGUAUUUUCAAUUUAGGAAGAAGAUUAUAAAGAAAUAUAUGAUAGAAUGAGAUGCCGAUCGAGUUCAGGGAAGAGUUCUUCGGUAUUGAAUACCGAUCGAGAAGAUUGCUAGCUCGGUUGUGGAAAACGGUCUUGAUUGGAAGCUUCGCAAAGAUUUGCGAGGCAAAAGAGAAAGGGUUUUCGGUUAUUAACUGAGACACAGUUGAAGUCCAAGGUAAGGGAUGGAGUAACGGUCCUUAUAUAUAGAGAGACCAGAGUAGACGAGAACAUAGAGAAUGGUCUGACGCCAGUAAGCAAUUAUACAUUAUUAAAUAAAUUCAUAUGGAAAUUCAAAGAAAAAUACAUAAUACCUUCGUACAUUGUAGUGGGGUACCGGGGAUGUUCGAACUUCGGUUAUGGGGUGUAAAUUUCGUGCAUUAAAUUGUAUUAAAUUGUACUAUCUCUUUAAUAAAUUUCGUGCAUUAAAUUGUAUUUGUAGAUUUAACCUGGGUCAACUGACUCAUCUUCUCCAUGAAUGUGUCCGCCACUGAUACAUUGUAAUUUCAUCA